rnacentral:rRNA from 1 species
UACGGAGGGUGCAAGCGUUAUCCGGAUUCACUGGGUUUAAAGGGUGCGUAGGCGGGCAUGUAAGUCAGUGGUGAAAUUUUCAAGCUUAACUUGGAAACUGCCAUUGAUACUAUGUGUCUUGAAUGUUCUGGAGGUUAGCGGAAUAUGUCAUGUAGCGGUGAAAUGCAUAGAUAUGACUUAGAACACCAAUUGCGAAGGCAGCUUGCUAAACAAAUAUUGACGCUGAGGCACGAAAGCGUGGGGAUCAAACAGG